AGAGACAGCAGUCGCCGCGGGAAAACGGAGGGAGCUAGCGUUAUUCGGAAUUACUGGGCGUAAAGCGCACGUAGGCGGCUUUGUAAGUUAGAGGUGAAAGCCUGGAGCUCAACUCCAGAAUUGCCUUUAAGACUGCAUCGCUUGAAUCCAGGAGAGGUGAGUGGAAUUCCGAGUGUAGAGGUGAAAUUCGUAGAUAUUCGGAAGAACACCAGUGGCGAAGGCGGCUCACUGGACUGGUAUUGACGCUGAGGUGCGAAAGCGUGGGGAGCAAACAGGAUUAGAUACCCCUGUAGUCCCUGUCUCUUAUAC
rnacentral:rRNA from 1 species